GGGGGUGUAGCUCAGUGGAAGAGCCUUUUCCUAGAAUGCAUAAGGUCCUGGGUUCCAACCCCAACACCACAA
rfam:Ictidomys tridecemlineatus contig107048, whole genome shotgun sequence.